GUAAACACAGCUAAAUGAUGUCGCAGGGCGCUAAGUUUUAACCACAACUGGUAAUUGAUAUUAGCACGACGCUGCGUCAUAGUCUCACGUGGGAUAGCUGGUAAAUUCAAAAGGGGACCUGAAAACUGAAAAGCUAAAAUUUAACACUGAAGUGGAAGCUGGGUGGCUGCUGAAUACGAAGAUUUCUGUUUUACGUUAAGCUAGCAUGCUAAGCUAAGUGCAGGUUUCGGCUAACUUCAUCUUGUAAUGAUAGAGCGCAGCGCGAGCUCAUCUGGACAUGGCAGCGGGAGCAGGAGCCGCUUUUGGUGGCUCUCUGGAGUCUACAUUAGAAAAGAAAUUUCGAAGUGUGACCAACACCAUGGAUUCUAUUCAAGGACUGUCAACGUGGUGCAUCGACAACAAGAAAUACCACAGUCUCAUUGUGCGACACUGGCUAAAGUGUUUGAAGAAAUCUGACCCCUCACACAGACUCAAUCUCUUGUACCUUGCCAACGAUAUCAUUCAGAACUGCAAAAGGAAAAACGCCAUUGUAUACCGUACAGCGUUUGCUGAGGUGCUUUCAGAUGCUUUCUUGCUGGUCAACCACGAGAGUGACUCAAAAGUGAUUAAAUCCGUGGAAAGGAUUCUGUCCAUCUGGGAGGAGAGGGAUGUGUAUUCAGGGACACUUAUUGCUGAACUGAGAAAUAUCUUAGUCAAAGAGGAUUCCCCACCUCCAGAGCAAAAAACUCCUGUUGAGUCUAAAGCAGAUCUACGGUCUAAGGUUGUUGCUGAGUUUGUGCCCCAGGCACUGAUGGAGCAGCUGUCCAAGUACAAGAGAUCUCUGGAGGAGGUUGACCUCAGAGAGAAACAACUGGCUGCUAUGAGGGUUGACAUCUUCAGUUCUGAUGCUCUCAAGAAACUCAAAGAUAAAGCAGGAGGAAAGAAGUUCUCCCGGGACUUUGAGGAGGGAAGUGCACAGCUGCACGAGUUUGUAAAGUUCUUUGAAAAACAAAGUAAAACAGGCCCUCCACUUAUGGAAGCGCUCAGCAAUGCAGAUAUCUUCUAUGAGAUGCAGUAUAAGGAGGUGAAGAUUGUUGCUAAUGCCUACCAAACAUUUGCUAACCGGGUGUCCCACCUGAAGCGUAAGCUGGAUGCUUUAAAGGCAGCCUUACCAGACCUGGAUGAGUCACCCAUCCCCUCACCGUCUGCAGAUGCACCAUCUCCAACAGGGUCAGAGUCCCCUUUUCAUGGACUGGAAUUGGCCCACCCCGAUCCAGAUCUUGAUGGUUCUGCUAUGGAUGAUGAAGCAGAGCCACCAGCUCCAAGCCCUCUGUCCUCACCAGGAGGAACCCCCAUACACACGCAGAAUCUUGGGGAGAAUGACAACCGUGAAGUAGAGGACAUGGAGCUAUCUGACGAAGAAAUAGACAGUGUUGGCAUUAUAGUUGAGGAGCAGAUCAAACCUGUACCUCUACCAGAGGUGUCCACUCCAAUCCCAGAAAAAAGUGAAUCAUCAGUGGUCACAGAGCCUCCUGUCCCACAGGUCCCACCCCCUGUGACCACCCCUACAGCUGCUCUGGAAAGUGUUGACAUGGAUAAAAUUGGCUCCAUCCUCAACAAUUUUAGCUCAGUCAUGAAGAACACAGCACCAGGGGUGGCAAGUCCUCAUACAAUUGCCCCUAUCAACUCCUCUGUGACGUCCACACCUGCUGUCUCUGUGGCCACACAGGACCCCAGCUCUCUGGUCAACAUCCUGUCCAAGGUGGACGUGAGUCCUGCUGACCUCCUCAGUGCUCUAUCAAAAGUCCAGGGCAAAAGCAGCCUUGGGGGCAUCACUUCACUCCUGAGCAGCUCGGCUGCAACUGUUGUCCCAGACACCUCCAGUACAGGCAAGAUUACUCCCUCUCCCUCAUCCAUAUCUGCAUCAGCAGUGCCCUCUCAGAGUUCUUCUCUCUCCUUUGUAGCACCUGUGCCGUCCUCAUCAAGCUCUAUUAGACAGCAAAGCUCAAGUACUCAAGCUUCUCCGCAGACUUCCAACAAAGCGUCUGCUUUGGUCCAGGCUCUCCAUAGAGACAUGGACUUGACUACAGAGUCGGAACAAUGUGUUUCAUCAAGCUUAGAGUCUAAAAUUCACAGCUUUCUGCAGGGAAACCCUGCUUUCAGUACAUUUGAUCUGGGUUUCUCUACCAACCCAACUCUGGGAGGUGAUCAUUUCAGUCCAGUACCUGGCACAGACACACAGGAUGGGACGCCAGUGCGGGAUGAGGGGGGAGGAACCCCAACACAAGAUGAGAUUAUGGAUAAGCCAGUGGUUGUCCCAUUCGCUUCCAACAUAAAUCAGGUAUCUGUAGGUGAAACUGCUAAAACAGCUCCUAUAACCUUUGAGAAAAGCAUCCUGCAGAGCUCUAACACCCCCCAACAGCAAACUCACUUACAGCCAGGUGCGACUCAGAAUGGGCAGGCGUACCUGCCGAACCCACAUGGCACGCAGGAGAUGUCAGAGCAUGGGAUCACUACGUCAGCUGUACAUUACCAGCAGAUUUCUGCCCACACAGGGGGGCCACUGCCUGGAGAAAGACCUCUAGGCAGUGCCAGUGACACACAGACAGGUAGUGGCUUUCAAGGGACAAGCGAAAGAAGUUGGUAUGGGGAUAGUUACCCACAGGGGAACACUCUGCAACCCAGUGGCUACAGUGUGACAGUGCCUGGAGGCGCUAGAGAGGACAAGACUUUAGGACUUUACUCAUACCCAGCAGGGCAAACUCAGGAACCACAAGAGUUUGCCUCCCAGCAGCAGGGGGGAACUGCAGCCCCUCCUUUCUUUGGAAGUAUGCUUCCUCCUGUCCCAAAGUUUCCACCUCCUCCUCCUUCUUUUGACACCCCACCACCCUCAAUGAACAGUACGAUGAUUCCCCCAGAGCAGCAGCCAGGUCCCAGUGUAGAUGUCGGGGGUUUGAUUGGAAACAGACGGGACAGCCUCAUCAGUGGCAUGGUGGUCCAUGACCAUCAUCACAAGUCUCUGCUUCCUCUGGGUGACUCACUCUAUGAUGGUGACUCACAUCAUCCAAGGCGUCCUGAGUUUUUGCCCCCUCACCCAGAUGACAAGCAUUACCGGGAAGAUGUCACACGUUACCAUGACGAACAACUUGAUGCCCAUCACUUUAACGAAGGUCCUUUCUAUCCCCCACAUGAUGCCUAUUUCAGACCAGGCAGUCCUCCACAUUCCUACCCUAGAGUUCGGGGGCGUAUGACUCCCCCACUCUCACCCUCAAGUGACCCUUAUUAUGCCCAUAACUACCAACGGCAAAGCCCCCCUCCUCUGCAAUACACGCCCAGGCGACCUCCACCUCAUGAAAUCCAGCAUCCUGGUAUGCGACCGCCACAUAGGCCACCCCACCCAGCACACCACCAACACCCCAGAGGACCACCUCGUCCACCAUUCCCUCGUUUCCUUGGCCCUGAUCUGAGAUCAAGAGGCAAACGUCCAGGCCUAAGAGGAGGUGGUCCAAUGUUCCCCCCUAAAAGACCCUUCCUACCCCCACAAUACUGACCGAACAUUUACCUUUGAGCUCUAAAACUGGCUGUGUAUCAUGAAGAAGGGGCAGACUAGCUAGUUCAUGAAUGUUGAAGUCUGCACUCUGCUGCAAGAAGCCUUUGAAAAUCUGUAAUUGAGCAAGGGGCUCAAUACAAGUGCAAAUCUUGAUGUGGGCACCAGUGGACAGUUACUCAGAAGAAGCUACCAGAAGAAUACAGAAUGUUUAGAGGGUUGAGGACAACCAGAGACAACACCAAGAAACAAAAAGCUGAUGGAGAAGGCUGAAGAGUGAAGACCGAAGAAUAAAGAAAAUAAGAGGGAUCCGGAGCCACUUUGAUGUGUCUGAUGUGAUGGAAACCUUUCCCACAUGUUAACUGCUGGAAGUGGGGAGGGUGAUGCUCUUUGAAUCCUGUUCCGCUCCCGGUGAUGGCUCUUCACGGUCUGUUAUGAAUGCUGUGCGCCGCAGCAGCUGAGUAAGCUCGCAGUUUUAUACUUCAGAAACUACAGUAAGUGCCACCAGCAGGACAUCAAAACAAUCGAUACAAGCAGGGGAAAGUAAAAUGUUUUAACUGCGUCUCUUCCUCUGUGGGUGUUUAGUUCUGUGUUUGGGAGGAAACUAUGGAGAACAGGAAGGACAGAAAGCAGCUGUAAAUGAUCCCACACUGCUUCAGUAAUGGUGAGGUCUGAGCAUCACACCGUAAGACCUGUUAAGGUCUCCAUGGAGACCAUUUCAGAUGAGGUUUCAUUGAACUAUUGAUGGAUCUUCUAAAGGACCAGAUGCAUCUUUCUGACAUUCAGAUACUAUUUCAGAUACAGUUAAUCUAUUGUAAAUCGUUUUUAGGCAUGCCACUUCUUAUAUUGUCCUUGAUUUCUCUAGUUUAAAAAUGCUUUUUGAGGACACUGAAGACCACGUUGAGUUAUAUCAGGUCAUAGGUAUCUAGUUGAUGCGUAGAUACUAUUUUUUAUCUGUCAAACUGUGUUCUCUUUUAAAAAAAAUCAUAGAUGAAGGUAAAUAGUUGAAACAGGUUAUGAGUCUUUGACAAGCUGCUAGUAACAAAGUGCAUGAAGAUACGAUUUGACUUUGUUUUUUGUUUGUUUUUGUUAUGUGUAGAUGCACAACACUGGUUCAUUCAUCAGAGUUAGUCAUCAGUAUUGUCUUAACCAAAAAAUAAAAAAAUUAAUCCAUAUUCUUAUGAAAAUGUUCAGGUACAAUGACUGGACAGAAAAUAAGUUUGAAAAAAUAUGUCCAAUAAAAAACUGAAAAACCUUCACAAAGCUUGGAGAAAUGUUGCAGAAGACCACUUUAAAGCACAAAACAUAGCUACUUGAAAGCCAAACAUAAAGAAUGACUCAAGACAUUUCCACAGUACUGUAUAUUUUUGUAACCCUGUCUGGAGACCUUAUAAAAUUAACCUUUUUUAAAAGGUAAACUAAUUGACUAAACUCAGACUGCAGACACAUUUGGACCUAAUCUGGGCCUCUGCUGCUGCUUACCUCUGCUGGCAGUGGCAGUGGUUGUGUUAGACAGACGUAGGCCAAAGAUCAUCAGCCAGACUUAAUCUGAGUUAUGGCAAGUGCUGUAGGCUAUGCAUCAGUUGUGGCCAGAAUGAACUGGUCUUAACAGCCUGCAGAUUUAAGCCCCAUGUCUACUGGAUCUGCAGCUGAGUGUAGCCAACCAUGCUCACCCUGACUCAACAAUAUUGCUCAAGGUUAAUGCGAGCCAUAUUUAAAGAACACAUUUUUUGUUACCUGUGAAAUUGAUAUGGGAUUUGUGGUGCUUCAUGUCUGUUGAAGCAUAUUGGAUAGACCCUCAGGGUCAGUGUCAGGUACAAUAAAAUUGAGUUUAUGAAGCUGUA